AGGUUGCUGCUGGGGGAUGGGGGAGGGUUGGUGUCAGCAGUUCAAGACUGUCUUUCCUACCCUCUUCAGUGCCUUUUUCUGUAAUAUGAAGUUAGAACCAAGUACUGUUAUUACUUAACUGAUUUUUGGUUCUUAUGAAGGUGCUUUUUUGUGUGGAUAGUUGUUCAAUUUGGUGUUCCUGCAGGGAGGAUAAUCCUUGAAGGUUUCUAUUUAGCCAUCUUGCUCUGCCUCUUGCUCCUAUAACAUUUUUAGUAAAGAAAAUGAAUAUUUUAAUUAGAAGCAACUGAUUCUACUGCUAAAUUAACAUUGCUUGGGUCCACAUUUUGCACACUAAAACAUUCACAGAAAGAGUUCUUAUAUUUGUAACUGUACUUAAUAGGAUCUCUUUUUGACCAAAAAUGAACCACAAGGCACUUAUAAACCCUGUGAGCUUGGACAGGAAAUGGGAAUUUGAAUCAAUAACUCUGCUGGAGUCACACCAGCUAUUGGCAAGAGACAGAGUGUCACUCUACUGCCUAGGCUGGAGUGCAGUGGAAGCGAUCACAGCUAACUGCAGCCUUGAGUUCCUGGGCUCAAGAAAUUCUCCCAUCUUGGCAUCUCAGGCUUGGGAUUACAGGUUAGAGCUGAUAUAUGUGGGUUUAAUGAAGAGACAACUUAUGAACUUUGCCUGCAGUGGAUGCAAUUUGGGGCCUUCUAUCCCUUUUCCAGAAACAAUAAGGCCAUUGGAAAUAAGGUUUCCAUCAGAUCCUAAAACCCAUGAAAUCAACAGAGCAUUUCUUUGGGAACCAGCUUUGAUGACUGUCCAUGUCUUACAGAGAGAAUGGUGAAAACCACUGUGAUUAAAAAUGGCUACUUUGGAAUCAACAGUCUGGCAUAUGGCACAAUUCAGAUCCUUGGUCUGACUUCAAAGUCAAAUAGUAUUACUGUAAAUGGAGAAACAUUCCAAGCAACAGACUACCAUAUAAGUCUAAUAAUCGGGUAAAGUUUAAACACUAUUGACUUAAAUGGCAAAGUUUCCUUAAUUAAGUCGUGUAUGUGCUAAUAAUUGAAUUUUCCCUGAAUACUGUCUCUUUGCAAAAACCACAGUAAAUCACAUUUCUUAAAUAACAGAUUACAUAUUUCUGAAGCACAAGGAAGACAAUAGCAUACAGUUAUAUUUCCAGACAAAACUCUUCCCAUAUCAGGACUAGAAAUUUUGUUGGAUUAAAUGUCACAGGCAAUAUCAUGCAAGGCUGGUGCAUUCUCUGGCAAGUGUAACAUUAAGGAAGGACAAAUGGGGAUCUAAAAUAAAUGAGAAUUAAGUUUAUAGAAAAUUGAAAGUGGAAAGUUUGAAGGGACUAUAUUUAAAUUCCUUCAUCUAACAGAUACUCAUUUAACUGAGCACCCAGGGAGGUGAAGUGACUUAUCAAAGUCAUAUACCCAUAAUAACUGACAAAACUGAGUCUUGAUCUUGAAACUCCUGACAGCUCAUGCCUCUUUCCUUCUACUCCGUUCUAUCUGGAAAUUAAGCAUAUUUAGUGAGCUCCUGCUGAGAGUUUGAAAGUUAUGCUAUAGAUGCAUGCUUAUGGAUACAAGACAUGGUUCCCACUCCUGAAGAACUCAAUGAAUAGUGUGCUGAAUAGACAUCACUUCCCUACAAUAUGAGGAGAGAUCUAGAGAUUUCAGUGUCUCCGAAGCCCCUAUGUCUAAUACCUUGUCACACAAUACAACAUAAUUGUCUCUAUAAAUACAGAGAAGUGGAAUAGAGCUCAAAAUACUAGAUUUGCUUUUUUUAAUCAAAAAAUAAUUGAUAACAAGGUUGUUUGAUGAAUAAUCUAUGCAAAAUAUACCCUUCUCCAUCUAAAUGCAUUUCUGUCUAAUUGAGAUUUUUUUUAGUCAGUUUGAUAUCUUAGUCUUAACAGUAAUUCUUUACUUGAAGUUUUAUAAUUUACAAAGAAUUUUUAGCAACAUGACUCCAUUUAAUUCUCACUAUGUUCCUGAGAGAUAGAUCUGUAUAGCUG
rnacentral:lncRNA from 1 species